CGGGACGUGGCGCAGUUUGGUAGCGCGUUUGAAUGGGGUUCAAAAGGUCGCAAGUUCGAAUCUUGUCGUCCCGACCA
rnacentral:tRNA from 1 species